GCACUGCUGGGGAGUUCCAUACCAGGACGAAACGGCCGUCCAGUGC
rnacentral:hammerhead_ribozyme from 1 species